GGAAAAAGUAAUCAAGUCCGUGCUUCAGGAUUCACCACUCCUCACAGCAGGGGUGCCAUCUGUCCUGGAGGAUCCAGUCUGCCCCCUGGGAGCCCUGUCACCUGCUGACUUCCCUGACUACCUCUACAAAGAACGAAUGACACUGAGUAUAUUGAGACACAGAAGCACUCGGCUACAAUUCCAGCAAACCAGAAGUGGAGGCAGGAGAAUCGGGAGCUCAAGUCCAGCCUGAACUACCAGAUUCUGCUUCAAGGCAUCAGACCACAGCAGAAGGAAGUAUAAAACAAAGCUGCCAGAAUUCAUGGGAAGAGGUGCCUGUGCAAAGACCCUG
rnacentral:lncRNA from 1 species